rnacentral:rRNA from 1 species
CCUACUGGUGGCAGCAGUAGGGAAUCUUCCACAAUGGGCGAAAGCCUGAUGGAGCAACGCCGCGUGGGUGAAGAAGGUCUUCGGAUCGUAAAACCCUGUUGUUAGAGACGAAAGUGCGUGAGUGUAACUGUUCACGUUUCGACGGUAUCUUACCAGAAAGCCACGGCUAACUACGUGCAAGCACCCUCGGUAAUACGUAGGUGGAAAGCGUUAGCCGGAUUUAUGGGGCGUAAAGGGAAUGCAGUUGGUAUUUUAAGUCUGAUGUGAAAGCCUUCGGCUUAACCGUUGUAGUGCAUUGGAAACUGUGAGACUAGAGUGCAGAAGAGGAGAGUGGAACUCCAUGUGUAGCGGUGAAAUGCGUAGAUAUAUGGAAGAACACUAGUGGCGAAGGCGGCUCUCUGGUCUGUAACUGACGCUGAGGUUCGAAAGCGUGGGUAGCAAACAGGAUUAGAUACCCGGGUAGUG